GUUGUAUAGUCAAGUAAUUAAGUGCAUGUGGUGGAUGCCUUGGCAGUCAGAGGCGAAGAAAGACGUGAUAGCCUGCGAAAAGCUCCGGGGAGGCGGCAAAUAUCCUGUGAUCCGGAGAUGUCUGAAUGGGGAAACCCACCGGCUAUAAGGUCGGUAUCAUAAACUGAAUACAUAGGUUUAUGAGGCGAACGCGGAGAAGUGAAACAUCUCAGUAUCCGUAGGAAAAGAAAUCAAUUGAGAUUCCCUCAGUAGCGGCGAGCGAAAGGGGAACAGCCCAUUAAGUCAUAUCAGUUUUAGUGGAAUGCUCUGGGAAGUGCAACCAUAGUGGGUGAUAGUCCUGUACACGAAAGGGCUGAUAUGAUGAUGUCGAGUAGGGCGAGGCACGUGAAACCUUGUCUGAAUAUAGGGGGACCAUCCUCUAAGGCUAAAUACUCCUGACUGACCGAUAGUGAACCAGUACCGUGAGGGAAAGGCGAAAAGAACCCCUGUGAGGGGAGUGAAAUAGAUCCUGAAACCGCAUGCAUACAAGCAGUGGGAGCCACUUUGUGUGGUGACUGCGUACCUUUUGUAUAAUGGG
rnacentral:rRNA from 1 species